UACGGAAGGCAGCAGUGGGGAAUAUUGCACAAUGGGCGCAAGCCUGAUGCAGCCAUGCCGCGUGUAUGAAGAAGGCCUUCGGGUUGUAAAGUACUUUCAGUCGUGAGGAAGGUGUUAAGGUUAAUAACCUUAGCAAUUGACGUUAGCGACAGAAGAAGCACCGGCUAACUCCGUGCCAGCAGCCGCGGUAAUACGGAGGGUGCGAGCGUUAAUCGGAAUUACUAGGCGUAAAGGGCACGCAGGCGGUUAAUUAAGUUGGAUGUGAAAUCCCCGGGCUUAACCUGGGAAUGGCAUUCAAGACUGGUUAGCUAGAGUCUUGUAGAGGGGGUAGAAUUCCAUGUGUAGCGGUGAAAUGCGUAGAGAUGUGGAGGAAUACCGGUGGCGAAGGCGGCCCCUGGCAAAGACUGACGCUCAUGUGCGAAAGCGUGGGGAGCAAACAGGGAUUAGAUACC
rnacentral:rRNA from 1 species